rnacentral:rRNA from 1 species
GUGCCAGCCGCGGCGGUAAUACGGAGGGUGCAAGCGUUAUCCGGAAUCAUUGGGUUUAAAGGGUCCGUAGGCGGAUGGAUAAGUCAGUGGUGAAAGUUUGCCGCUUAACGGUAAAAUUGCCUCUGAUACUGUCUAUCUUGAAUGUGUGUGAAGUGAUUAGAAUAUGUAGUGUAGCGGUGAAAUGCAUAGAUAUUACAUAGAAUACCGAUUGACGAAGGCAGGUCACUAACACAUGAUU